CCUACGGGAGGCAGCAGUGAGGAAUAUUGGUCAAUGGGCGAGAGCCUGCACCAGCCAAGUCGCGUGAAGGAUGACGGCCCUACGGUUUGUAAACUUCUUUUGUCAGGGAGCAAUUUGGUCCACGCGUGUGCUUAGCGAGAGUACCUGAAGAAAAAGCAUCGGCUAACUCCGUGCCAUCAGCCGCGGUAAUACGGAGGAUGCGAGCGUUAUCCGGAUUUAUUGGGUUUAACUGGUGCGUAGGCGGAAUAUCAAGUCAGCGGUAAAAAUUCGGGGCUCAACCACUUAGUGCCGUUGAAACUGAUGGUCUUGAGUGGGCGAGAAGGAUGCGGAAUGCGUGGUGUAGCGGUGACAUGCAGAGAUAUCACGCAGAACUCCGAUUGCGAAGGCAGCAUACCGGAGCCCAACUGACGCUGAAGCACGAAAGCGUGGGUAUCGAACAGGAUUAGAUACCCCAGUAGUC
rnacentral:rRNA from 1 species